GGGCAACCCUGGCGGCGAGCGGCGAACGGGUGCGUAAUGCAUGGGAAUCUGCCUAGUAGUGGGGAAUAACCCGGCGAAAGCCGGGCUAAUGCCGCAUACGACCUACGGGUGAAAGCGGGGGAUCGCAAGACCUCGCGCUAUUAGAUGAGCCCAUGUCGGAUUAGCUAGUUGGUAGGGUAACGGCCUACCAAGGCGACGAUCCGUAGCUGGUCUGAGAGGACGGCCAGCCACACUGGGACUGAGACACGGCCCAGACUCCUACGGGAGGCAGCAGUGGGGAAUUUUGGACAAUGGGGGCAACCCUGAUCCAGCGACGCCGCGUGUGUGAAGAAGGCCUGCGGGUUGUAAAGCACUUUCGUCGGGAACGAAAUAUGCCGACCUAAUACGUCGGUAGGCUGACGUUACCCAAAUAAGAAGCACCGGCUAACUCUGUGCCAGCAGCCGCGGUAAUACAGAGGGUGCGAGCGUUAAUCGGAAUUACUGGGCGUAAAGCGCACGUAGGCGGCUAUGUAAGUCAGGUGUGAAAUCCCCGGGCUCAACCUGGGAACUGCAUUUGAGACUGCAUAGCUAGAGUAUGGGAGAGGAAGGCGGAAUUCCCGGUGUAGCGGUGAAAUGCGUAG
rnacentral:rRNA from 1 species